GAGAAGAUGGCUGAGAGGUUUAAAGCGAUAGACUGUAAAUUUAUUUCCUUUUAAUAAGGUUUCAUAGGUUCGAAUCCUAUUCUUCUUCU
rnacentral:tRNA from 1 species